GAUGAACGCUGGCGGCGUGCCUAAUACAUGCAAGUCGAACGAGGUGCUUUUGUAGCAAUACGGAAGUAUCCUAGUGGCGAACGGGUGAGUAACGCGUUGGUGACCUACCCCAAAGUGUGGGAUAACAGUCCGAAAGGACUGCUAAUACCGCAUGUGGUCUUCGGGCUUAGAAACCGAUGACUAAAGGAGCAAUUCGCUUUGGGAGGGACCUGCGUCCCAUCAGCUAGUUGGUAGGGUAACGGCCUACCAAGGCUUCGACGGGUAGGGGACCUGAGAGGGUGGCCCCCCACAAUGGAACUGAAACACGGUCCAUACACCUACGGGUGGCAGCAGUAGGGAAUAUUGCACAAUGGGCGAAAGCCUGAUGCAGCAACGCCGCGUGUGCGACGAAGGCCUUCGGGUCGUAAAGCACUUUUCUGAGAGAUGAGAAAGGACAGUAUCUCAGGAAUAAGUCUCGGCUAACUACGUGCCAGCAGCCGCGGUAAAACGUAGGAGGCGAGCGUUAUCCGGAUUCACUGGGUGUAAAGCGCGUGCAGGCGGUUCGGUAAGUUGGGCGUGAAAUCUCCUAGCUCAACUAGGAGAGGUCGUUCAAUACUACCGGGCUAGAGAGCGGUAGAGGAAGAUGGAAUUCCCGGUGUAGUGGUGAAAUGCGUAGAUAUCGGGAGGAACACCAGUGGCGAAGGCGAUCUUCUGGACCGUUUCUGACGCUCAGACGCGACAGCUAGGGUAGCAAACGGGAUUAGAGACCCCGGUAGUCCUAGCCGUAAACGAUGUGAACUUGGCGUCGGUGGGUUAAACUCCAUCGGUGCCGCAGCCAACGCGAUAAGUUCACCACCUGGGGACUACGGCCGCAAGGUUA
rnacentral:rRNA from 1 species